GAUAUCAAUGGAUAUUAUAAAGGGAAACUUAGAUGGAAUUUCAAAACCAGCCUCAAAUUCAAGGACACGUCCUGGGAGCCAAAGUUCAAAUGCUUCUUUGGAGGUGCUCUCACCAGAACCAGCAUCCUUCAAGGUUGAUACUGCAGUCAAUUUGAACUCUGAUAAAGAAGCCCACUCAGAAAGCAAUAAUGCAGAGAAAAGUAGAAACAGUAAUGAUAAUAAAGGGGAAAGCUACUCUGAGAAAGUAAAAUUGCCUGAAGAGGGGUCAGAUGAAGAUUCAAACUUGGGUCAACAUCAGAUAGUCCCUGAAUGUUCAGAUGAAUUUGAAUUAAAAGAAUUAGAUUUUCAACUUCAGGAUGCUAUUCGGAAGAUGAAGAGGCUUGACAAGAUAUUGGUGAAGAGACAAUACAGAGAAAAAGAAAUUAAGAAGCAAGGUCUAGAAAUGAGAAUAAAGCUGUGGGAGGAACUUAAGUCUGCAAAAAAUGGUGAAGUUUUGCAAAGUAAUGAGGAGAUGGAAAAUACAAAAAAGUUUCUAGCUUUGACUGCUGCAUCAGAAGAAACUGUUGAUCCUUCUUGUAACAAGCAUGAAGAUACCUUUUUCUCUGUGUUUCACACUCAAGUUCCACCAGAAAACUAUGAAAAUCAUAUGCAGAAUGUCAAACAAGAUUUUACCUAUGAUGUGGAAAGAAAUGAGUCAAUGAUCAAAGAAGAAAAUAAACCUUUCUCAAAUACAGAAAAGAUUGAGCUCAGGGGUAAACACAGCCAGGAUUUUAUUAAGCGAAACAUUGAGUUGGCCAAGAAUUCGGGAAAACCAGUGGUGAUGAUUGACAGAGAAAAGGAAAAGCUGGUUGAACUUUUGAAGGACUUAGACGAUAGUGAUUCAGGGCUGUCCAGUUCUGAGGGAGGUCAGUAUGGCUGGCUGGUCCCGGGAGAAGGAUACACGCUUGCAGUCACCCAGCAUCAGCAGCUUGCUGAAAUUGAUACAAAACUCCAAGAACUUUCUGCCAUCUACCCAACAAUUUUCAGCUCUUCUCCAAGACCAGAACAUCAGAAUGAUAAGAAACCUGACCUUAAUGGUGAUGGUAGAAAUACAGAAGUAACUCCAGGAGAAAAGGUUCUUCAAAACACCAAAGAACAACGGGAUCAGCAGAAUCGGUUGAGAGAGAUAGAUGAAAAACUAAGAAAGAUGAAGGAAAAUGUGUUAGAUUCAACAUCACUUCUCUCUGAGGAACAGUUAAGGUGUCUUCUGGAUGAAUGCUCGUUCAAACAAAAGUCCACAGUUAGACUGUCUCCAGAAAAAGAAGAGAAAGACAUUGAGGAUAUAACACCUGAGUUCCCCCAACUUUCUGGAUCUAUUCUCUCUGAGUCAUUAAACAGGUCAAAAACAAAGGUUAGAAGCACUGAAGUGGAGGACAUAAAUGUGCCCAAGAAUGGAGAAUGUGAAACAUCCAGAGGCUACUUUCUCACCAAAGCCUUGACUGGGCAUCACACGUCACCAGCUCUUCUCCUUGAAGCAGAGAAUGUGAAGUGCCUUCAGUUUUCUGAGGACAAGGUUAUUGGUGAUGCAGAAGACUACUUCAUGUCUAAGACUCUGGGCAUUGGGAGACUGAAAAGGCCCUCUUUCUUGGACGAUCCACUGUAUGGCGUCAGUGUGAGCCUUUCAUCUGAAGACCAACAUGUGAAACUCAGCCCUCCAGAGACACUCAAACCAGAUGAACAGGAGACUGAAGAUGUGACAGAAGAAUGUAAAGAAUCUUAAGCAGUGACUGGCUGGGUUGUGCUUUUAAGAGAGUUG
rnacentral:lncRNA from 1 species